AUGUAUUACCAUCAUCAUACUCACUCCUCACUAUUAUCAUCAUCAUACUCACUCCUCACUAUUACCAUCAUCAUACUCACUCCUCACGUAUUACCAUCAUCAUACUCACUCCUCAUGUAUUACCAUCAUCAUACUCACUCCUCAUGUAUUACCAUCAUCAUACUCACUCCUCACUAUUACCAUCAUCAUACUCACUCCUCACAAUUACAAUCAUCAUACUCACUCCUCAUGUAUUACCAUCAUCAUACUCACUCCUCAUGUAUUACCAUCAUCAUACUCACUCCUCACUAUUACCAUAAUCAUACUCACUCCUCACGUAUUACCAUCAUCAUACUCACUCCUCAUGUAUUACCAUCAUCAUACUCACUCCUCACUAUUACCAUCAUCAUACUCACUCCUCAAGUAUUACCAUCAUCAUACUCACUCCUCAUGUAUUACCAUCAUCAUACUCACUCCUCAUGUAUUACCAUCAUCAUACUCACUCCUCACUAUUACCAUCAUCAUACUCACUCCUCACUAUUACCAUCAUCAUACUCACUCCUCACGUAUUACCAUCAUCAUACUCACUCCUCACUAUUACCAUCAUCAUACUCACUCCUCAUGUAUUACCAUCAUCAUACUCACUCCUCAUGUAUUACCAUCAUCAUACUCACUCCUCAUGUAUUACCAUCAUCAUACUCACUCCUCACUAUUACCAUCAUCAUACUCACUCCUCACUAUUACCAUCAUCAUACUCACUCCUCACUAAUACCAUCAUCAUACUCACUCCUCACUAUUACCAUCACCAUACUCACUCCUCACUAUUACCAUCAUCUAACUCACUCCUCACUAUUACCAUCAUCAUACUCACUCCUCACUAUUACCAUCAUCAUACUCACUCCUCACUAUUACCAUCAUCAUACUCACUCCUCAUGUAUUACUAUCAUCAUACUCACUCCUCACUAUUACCAUCAUCAUACUCACUCCUCAUGUAUUACCAUCACCAUACUCACUCCUCACUAUUACCAUCAUCAUACUCACUCCUCACGUAUUACCAUCAUCAUACUCACUCCUCAUGUAUUACCAUCAUCAUACUCACUCCUCACUAUUACCAUCAUCAUACUCACUCCUCAUGUAUUACCAUCAUCAUACUCACUCCUCACUAUUACCAUCAUCAUACUCACUCCUCACUAUUACCAUCAUCAUACUCACUCCUCACUAUUACCAUCAUCACUCACUCCUCACUAUUACCAUCAUCAUACUCACUCCUCACUAUUACCAUCAUCAUACUCACUCCUCACUAUUACCAUCAUCAUACUCACUCCUCACUAUUACCAUCAUCAUACUCACUCCUCAUGUAUUACCAUCAUCAUACUCACUCCUCAUGUAUUACCAUCAUCAUACUCACUCCUCACUAUUACCAUCAUCAUACUCACUCCUCAUGUAUUACCAUCAUCAUACUCACUCCUCAUGUAUUACCAUCACCAUACUCACUCCUCACUAUUAUCAUCAUCAUACUCACUCCUCACUAUUACCAUCAUCAUACUCACUCCUCACGUAUUACCAUCAUCAUACUCACUCCUCAUGUAA
rnacentral:lncRNA from 1 species